UACGUAGGGGGCAAGCGUUGUCCGGAAUCAUUGGGCGUAAAGCGCGCGUAGGCGGCCCGGUAAGUCCGCUGUAAAAGUCCAGGGCUCAACCCUGGAAAGCCGGUGGAUACUGUCGGGCUAGAGUCCGGAAGAGGCGAGUGGAAAUUCCUGGUGUAGCGGUCGGAAUGCGCAGAUAUCAGGAGGAACACCGGUGGCGAAGGCGGGACUCUGGGCCGAUACUGACGCUGAGGCGCGAAAGCCAGGGAGCGAACGGG
rnacentral:rRNA from 1 species